rnacentral:rRNA from 1 species
GAUUGCCCCAGUAACGGCGAGUGAAGCGGCAACAGCUCAAAUUUGAAAUCUGGCCCUCGGGUCCGAGUUGUAAUUUGUAGAGGAUGCUUUUGGCGCGGUGCCUUCCGAGUUCCCUGGAACGGGACGCCUUAGAGGGUGAGAGCCCCGUACGGUUGAACACCAAGCCUCUGUAAAGCUCCUUCGACGAGUCGAGUAGUUUGGGAAUGCUGCUCUAAAUGGGAGGUAAAUUUCUUCUAAAGCUAAAUAUUGGCCAGAGACCGAUAGCGCACAAGUAGAGUGAUCGAAAGAUGAAAAGCACUUUGAAAAGAGGGUUAAAUAGCACGUGAAAUUGUUGAAAGGGAAGCGUUUGCGACCAGACCUUUUCCUAGCGGAUCAUCCGGUGUUCUCACCGGUGCACUUCGCUAGGUUUAGGCCAGCAUCGGUUUCUAUAGGGGGAUAAAAGCUCUGGGAACGUAGCUCCUCCGGGAGUGUUAUAGCCCUCUGCAUAAUACCCUUACAGGGACCGAGGACCGCGCUUUUAGCAAGGAUGCUGGCGUAAUGGUCGUCAACGACCCGUCUUGAAACACGGACCAAGGAGUCGAACAUUUGUGCGAGUGUUUGGGUGUUAAACCCUCACGCGUAAUGAAAGUGAACGGAGGUGAGAGCCCUUACGGGUGCAUCAUCGACCGAUCCUGAUGUCUUCGGAUGGAUUUGAGUAAGAGCAUAACUGUUCGGACCCGAAAGAUGGUGAACUAUGCGUGGAUAGGGUGAAGCCAGAGGAAACUCUGGUGGAGGCUCGCAGCGGUUCUGACGUGCAAAUCGAUCGUCAAAUCUGCGCAUGGGGGCGAAAGACUUAUCGAACCAUCUAGUAGCUGGUUACCGCCGAAGUUUCCCUCAGGAUAGCAGUGUUGUUCUUCAGUUUUAUGAGGUAAAGCGAAUGAUUAGGGACUCGGGGGCGCUUUUUAGCCUUCAUCCAUUCUCAAACUUUAAAUAUGUAAGAAGCCCUUGUUACUUAAGUGAACGUGGGCAUUCGAAUGUACCAACACUAGUGGGCCAUUUUUGGUAAGCA